GACGAACGCUGGCGGCGUGCCUAAUACAUGCAAGUCGAGCGGAGUCUGAAAGGAAGCUUGCUUCCUUUCAGACUUAGCGGCGGACGGGUGAGUAACACGUAGGCAACCUGCCCUCAAGCCUGGGAUAACUACCGGAAACGGUAGCUAAUACCGGAUAACAGUUUAUGCCGCAUGGCAUAAGAGUGAAAGGCGCUUUCGGGUGUCGCUGAUGGAUGGACCCGCGGUGCAUUAGCUAGUUGGUGAGGUAACGGCUCACCAAGGCCACGAUGCAUAGCCGACCUGAGAGGGUGAUCGGCCACACUGGGACUGAGACACGGCCCAG
rnacentral:rRNA from 1 species